AGCCCCCCUAAUAGCUGCGUAGUGGCGCCAUCGUCUGUCACUGAAAAAAAUCGCAGCGAGGCCUGCUGUCGUUUACAACCUCAUUAAGCCUCGGGUCAUUGGUUUCAACACCUAUUAAGGCUAAUCUGCAAGACCUGAUUUGGCUGAGAUCCUUUUAAUUCCUUCAGUUUGAGUUUUUCCACCAUCACGUGACACAUCAGAGAUCCCAUCAACUGAAGGCCACAAAAGUGCUCCUUUGCCUUUCCAUGAUGGGAAUCUGCACACCGUCCCAAAGAACCUCUACUGGAUUUAGAUCUGGUGACUGUGGAGACCAUGAACUUCCUAUGGAGAAGCCCCCUCCUCUUCUUGAUUACUCCUAUCACCCUCAUACAGCGCAACAUCCCCACUAAACAGCUUUCUACUACAGUACAGGCAGUAUGUGUAGUAGGAACAAAUGUGAUUGGCUUUGCACGCAAAAUUCGACAGUAAUGGCACUGUGGCCUCUUUCAUUAUGGGAGAAAUUCUGUGAUCCAGAUUGCACAGUGAGGGACUGCUGAUGCCCAGAGGUUUGCCCUCCAUGUAUCUACGUGUUGCAUGGGGACACUAAGGCAUUUCCAGGCCAGCUGAGAGAAAUAAUUUCUUUAGUCUGCUCUGGAUCUGCUGGGGGUCUCCUCCUGGUAGGACAUCCUGAAACACCUGUCCUUGGAGUUGCUUAGGAGCCAUCCUUGCCAGAUGCCUGAACGACCUCAACUGGCUCCUUUUGGUGUGUCGAAUAGAAGCUUUUCUCUGAGCCUCUUCUGAAUGAGUAACAGAGAUCCCAGACAUUCAUCAGAAGCAAAUUUCUGUUCAGUACCCACAGCUCAUGGAUGAUGGUAGGAACGUAGGCCGACUGCUAAAUCAACAGCUUUGCUUUCAGGCUCAGCUCUCGCUUUGACAGGCUGGCAUAGUAUCUGCAUCACUACAGACACCACACCAAUCUGUCAGUUUCCUGCUCCAGUCUCCCUCAUUUCUAAAUAACUCCAAGAUAAUAAUUAAAAAAAAAAAAAAAAAAAAACGGGAAAAAACAUCUGUCAAAGGACAUUGUCCAGGGACAGGGUUACCAGGGCCCACCCUGGGCCAGGCCUGGAAAAGGGACACAAGGGGAAGCAUCUGGUGGCUGGCUUUUACCCCGUGGGCCCAACUGGGCCAACCCAUAAUGGGCACAUGGGUUGGGGUUGGGUGUUAAGUGCAAUAUGGACUGGGCUGCAAUCAGAUCCCCACCUUCCAAGUCUGUUGCCCCUUUUAAAAUAAGCCAAAAACUGGUUUUAAAACUAGCAAAUUUCUUAUCAUCUUGGACUACUAAUGUACAAUGUGGAGAAUAUGUAAAGUAAACAGUUGCUUGCAGUUUAGCUAACGAUCCUCUAAAUUUAAUUGACCAAAGACUAUAAACUGUCAGUUUAAAAAUUCAUUGUUAUUUACACACAUGCAGAUAAAUUUGUAUCUCAGGGUUAGCAUUAUUCAGAAUUAGCAAUGUUCUCACACAUAGGCUUCUGAAAAGUAAUCGUUUAUCAGUACUGCGUGCUGACAAACCAUAAUGAUAUACAGUAAAUCUGAAUUUCACUGCAGCUCACCUUUACCACAUGAAUCCAUCAAAAUGCUGACCU
ensembl:lncRNA